rnacentral:rRNA from 1 species
GACGGACCGAGCGAACGUUAUUCGGAAUCACUGGGCUUAAAGGGUGCGUAGGCGGGCUGUCAAGUCUGGGGUGAAAUCCCACGGCUCAACCGUGGAACUGCCUUAGAUACUGAUGGCCUCGAGGAAGGUAGGGGCAUGCGGAACUGUAGGUGGAGCGGUGAAAUGCGUUGAUAUCUACAGGAACUCCGGUGGCGAAAGCGGCGUGCUUGACCUUUUCUGACGCUGAGGCACGAGAGCUAGGGGAGCAAACGGG